rnacentral:rRNA from 1 species
AGAGUUUGAUCCUGGCUCAGGAUGAACGCUAGCGGCAGGCUUAAUACAUGCAAGUCGAACGGGAUUCGGGGUAGCAAUACUUUGAUGAGAGUGGCGCACGGGUGCGUAACGCGUAUGCAACCUACCUUUAACAGGGGAAUAGCCCCGAGAAAUCGGGAUUAAUACUCCGUAACAUUGCGGUGUGGCAUCACACUGCACUUAAAGCUGAGGCGGUUAAAGAUGGGCAUGCGUGACAUUAGCUAGUUGGUGAGGUAACGGCUCACCAAGGCAACGAUGUCUAGGGGUCCUGAGAGGGUUAUCCCCCACACUGGUACUGAGACACGGACCAGACUCCUACGGGAGGCAGCAGUAAGGAAUAUUGGUCAAUGGGCGCAAGCCUGAACCAGCCAUGCCGCGUGCAGGAAGACGGCCCUAUGGGUUGUAAACUGCUUUUGUCAGGGAAUAAACCCCCGCUCGUGAGCGGGGCUGAAGGUACCUGAAGAAUAAGCAUCGGCUAACUCCGUGCCAGCAGCCGCGGUAAUACGGAGGAUGCAAGCGUUAUCCGGAUUCAUUGGGUUUAAAGGGUGCGCAGGCGGAUUGGUAAGUCAGGGGUGAAAUCCCACAGCUCAACUGUGGAACUGCCUUUGAUACUGUCAGUCUAGAGUAUAGUUGAAGUUGGCGGAAUGUGUCAUGUAGCGGUGAAAUGCUUAGAUAUGACACAGAACACCGAUCGCGAAGGCAGCUAGCUAAGCUAUAACUGACGCUCAUGCACGAAAGCGUGGGGAUCAAACAGGAUUAGAUACCCUGGUAGUCCACGCUGUAAACGAUGAUUACUCGAUGUUGGCGA